UGCGUAGGCAGCUUGGUCAGUCAGAUGUGAAAGCCCCGGGCUUAACCUGGGAACUGCAUUUGAUACUGCCGGGCUAGAGUAUGGUAGAGGGAAGUGGAAUUCCGGGUGUAGCGGUGAAAUGCGUAGAUAUCCGGAGGAACACCAGUGGCGAAGGCGACUUCCUGGACCAAUACUGACGCUGAGGCACGAAAGCGUGGGUAGCAAACA
rnacentral:rRNA from 1 species